AAAUAGUAUAUUCCUUUAGUUUGGCGCAUUCUUUUGUUUAGAAAGGCCACAAUGGACAGAAGCAGAUUAAUUAAGUUGAUUAUAACAUUUACGUUAUUGAGUGUUUCAUCAUGCGGAGCUGCUGAUUGGUGGGAGGACUCAUCGCUGUACCAAAUCUAUCCAAGAUCAUGGAAGGACAGUAAUGGUGACGGUAUUGGAGAUCUAAAUGGAAUAACGGAGAAGCUGGAAUAUCUUAAAGAGAUUGGAAUAACCGCAACAUGGCUCUCACCAAUUUUUAAAUCUCCAAUGUCGGAUUUUGGUUAUGAUAUUUCCAAUUUUUAUGAAGUUGAUCCAAUUUUUGGAACUUUGGAUGAUUUCGACGCUUUGAUCAAAAAAGCUAAAAAGAUCGGCAUUAAAAUAAUUCUGGAUUUUGUUCCUAAUCAUUCUAGUGAUGAAUGUGAAUGGUUUCAGAAGUCAAUAGAACGUAAGGACGGAUAUGAAAAUUUUUAUGUGUGGGAAAAUGGUUUCGAUGAUCCAAAAAAUCCCGGAAAAAAACUACCUCCAUCGAACUGGGUAAGCAUUUUCGGUGGCAAGAUGUGGACAUGGAAUGAAAAGCGUCAACAAUUUUAUUUGCAUCAAUUUCAAGCAAAACAACCAGACUUAAAUUAUAAAAAUCCUAAAGUCCGGGAAGAAAUGUUGAAAGUUUUAAAAUUCUGGCUAGAUCGUGGUGUGGAUGGUUUUCGUAUCGAUGCUGUUCCACAUAUUUUUGAAAAAGUUAAUGAUGACGGAACUUAUCCUGAUGAGCCACUGAGUGGAGCUACUUCAGAUCCUGAUAGUUAUGAUUAUUUAACUCAUAUUUACACAAAAGAUCAAUAUGAAACAGUUGAAGUUAUUUAUGAGUGGAGAGCUUUUUUAAAUCAGUAUCAAAAGGAACACGGAGGCGAAACAAGAAUUCUUCUAGCCGAAGCUUAUUCACCAAUUGAUGUUAUUGAUCAAUACUUUGGCAAUGGAACACAUUUUGGCGCACAUAUACCAUUCAAUUUCAAUUUAAUGGGCUUAAGAGGUUCAUCAAAUGCUCGUGACCUGGAAAGGUCCAUCAACAGUUGGAUGGAAGUUAUGUGGGCCAAGCACAAAACGGCUAAUUGGGUGCUUGGAAACCAUGAUAAUAGUAGGAUAGCCACCAAUUUUGGGAAUCAUAAAGUUGAUUUAGUUAAUGUUAUAAUUACUGCACUUCCUGGUGCAACUGUUACGUACUAUGGCGAAGAAAUAGGCAUGUCAAAUGUGAAAACGGAAUGCACAGAAAUAUCAUGCGAUGACCGAGAUCCAGAAAGAACCCCCUUUCAGUGGAGUGAUGGAAAAUCAGCAGGAUUUUCUUCUUCUUCAAAAACAUGGCUACCAAUAGCCGAUGACUACAAAAAAGUGAACGUCAAGGUAGAGAGAGGUGCUGAUAGAAGUACGCUUAAUGUUUUCAAGGGAUUACAGAAACUUAAACGGUCGUCUGCUUAUAAAGCGUUUAAAGAAGAUGGUGGAUGGAGUUAUUCCGCUAUUAACGAUGAAGUAUUUCAAGUCAUAAGGUCAUCUUCAAAAGAAGAAUAUCGAAUUUUGGUCAAUUUUGGGGAAAAGCUAGAAGAAGUUGGCCCAUUGAUUAAUUCUGUUAAUAGCGAUGAACACGUCAUGGAGUACUUUUUGUUGACUAGUAAUUCUCCGCACCGUAUUGGAGAAAAAGUAAAUUUGAAUAACAUUUAUUUGAUGCCUUUUGAAGCUGUUGUCCUAAGAAGAAAAAUACGAAACUAAAUCUUCAAUUUUAUAAGAUAUUAUAAUUUUAUUAUAAUAUUAUAUUAAAAACAACAAAAUGUAAAAUUGAAAAACAUGUAUGUAUCUACAUAAAUGAUGCCUUUAGCUCAGAAUAAAAAAUAAAUAAAUCGCUGCCUGAGAGUUGCUUUGUAAUGUUCUUAUA